rnacentral:rRNA from 1 species
UGGCGAACGGGUGAGUAACACGUGGGCAACCUGCCCUCAGCUCUGGGAUAACUCCGGGAAACCGGGGCUAAUACCGGAUAUGACCACCGUGGGCAUCUGUGGUGGUGGAAAGUUUUUCGGCUGAGGAUGGGCCCGCGGCCUAUCAGCUUGUUGGUGGGGUGAUGGCUCACCAAGGCGACGACGGGUAGCCGGCCUGAGAGGGUGACCGGCCACACUGGGACUGAGACACGGCCCAGACUCCUACGGGAGGCAGCAGUGGGGAAUAUUGCGCGAUGGGCGGAAGCCUGACGCAGCGACGCCGCGUGAGGGACGACGGCCUUCGGGUUGUAAACCUCUUUCAGCAGGGACGAAGCGAGAGUGACGGUACCUGCAGAAGAAGCACCGGCCAACUACGUGCCAGCAGCCGCGGUAAUACGUAGGGUGCAAGCGUUGUCCGGAAUUAUUGGGCGUAAAGAGCUCGUAGGCGGUCUGUUGCGUCGGCUGUGAAAACCCGAGGCUCAACCUCGGGCCUGCAGCCGAUAC